CAGGGCAGUCUUGAAUUGAAUUGGUGGCGUAAAGGGCGCGUAGGCGGCUUGGCAAGUGGAAGGUGAAAUCCCUCGGCUUAACCGAGGAACUGCCCUCCAAACUGCUUUGCUUGAGGCCGGGAGAGGUGAGUGGAAUUCCCAGUGUAGCGGUGAAAUGCGUAGAUAUCAGGAGGAACACCAAUGGCGAAGGCAGCUCGCUGGGACGUGACUGACGCUGAGACGCGAAAGCGUGGGGAGCAAACAGG
rnacentral:rRNA from 1 species